CGCCCGGGGGAAGCAGGCGCCGAAGCUCCUAUUCUAGUGUACUGGGCAUGCAGUCUUUCCAAUACAAUCGGCCCUGCAUGUGGAAUUCUUGCACUGAAACACAUCAGCUAUCCUGCUCAGGUACGAAAAUUGGACUCCUGUGCUUGGCAUAUCACGUAAGUAUCCUGUUGGCGAAACAGCACUGCACCAUGUUUUCUGCAUUUGAUAUAUGAUGCAAGCUACCGAAAUCAGAACUGGGUGUACGUACUUUCAAACGCUUUCUGUUUAGUUGAUGUGCAUAUGUACGGGUGCUCGUUAAGUCCUCCAAGAUGAUUCCAGGUGCCAUUCCUUCUCGCAUAAUCUAGAAUCACAAGCGUGAAUCCUCAGAUCUAUAUUUUAAGGGUUCAAGGGGUCAACAAUUGGCCAAUGAGGACCAGUCACGAUUCUCAAGGUCACGAUAUGGGAGAAAAACAAUUUAAAUUCAGCUUCCCAAAUAAUAUGCAGUCUAUAUCUUGAAUUGUAGGUUCAAACAUUGGUUCUUUUUCUGAUUUGAAACCAACUACUCACCUGCAAAGUGGAGAAUUGACUCGGGGCAUGUGCUAGUGAGGAAUCAUGGCAGUAAUGCUGAUGGGAGCCCUCCUAUGCGGAGUCCCUUACUCCCUCCGAGAAUAUUUGUGCACCUUCCUGGUGGCUGGUGGAGUAGCGGUGUUCGCACUUCAGAUAAACACGUCAAUACUCUUGGUUUCAAUUUUGAUGUACAACCUCGUAUUCCACACGGAUACAUUCAAAGAAUAAUUCUAUAUAAUUGAUUGUUUCUGUAGAACUCAGAUAAGCAAGGAAGUAUCGCUAGUCCAAACGCACCAUUGGGUUAUCCAAAAUUGAACGCAUGGCACUUGAUGGUCGGGAUGAACGUGUGGGGCUUAGCGUACAUGACGCUUUUCAUGUUCUUGAUUCCUGGUGGAGGUGGGUACGAUGCCGUGGGGUUCUGCAUGCACCACCCUGACAUUG
rnacentral:lncRNA from 1 species